rnacentral:lncRNA from 1 species
GAGACAGUGUUAAGGAGGAGACACCAUAAGCUCUGUCCUCCUGUCCUUUCUUACCACACCAUGUGGAAGAACAGAUAUGCUCAGCUGUACCUUUUUUCAGUUCUUCUUGCCUUCCUGCCUUCUGCAUCUUCACUCAAUGGAGACCCGAAGUAUAUGGUGCUGGUCCCUUCUCAGCUCUACACUGAGACCCCUGAGAAAAUCUGCUUCCAUCUAUACCAUCUGAAUGAGACAGUGACCGUCACAGCUUCCUUGGUGUCUCAAUCAAGAUGGAGAAACCUGUUCGAUGAGCAUAUCACAGAUUUCUUGGUAUCUCAAUUGGAAAGGAGAAACCUGUUCGAUGAGCUUGUGGUUGACAAGGACUUGUUCCAAUGUGUUUCCUUCAUUAUCCCUACACUCAACUCUCCUGAUGAGGAGGAGUUUCUCUACGUGGACAUCAAAGGGCCAACCCACGAAUUCAGCAAAAGGAAAGCAGUGCUUGUGAAGAACAAAGAAAGUGUUGUCUUUGUCCAGACAGAUAAGCCCGUGUACAAACCAGGACAAUCAGUUAAAUUUCGGGUUGUCUCUAUGGAUAAAACUCUACACCCCCUGAAUGAGUUGCUCCCUCUGGCUUACAUUGAGGAUCCGAAAAAGAACCGAAUUAUGCAGUGGAGGGAUAUUAAGACUGAGAAUGGGCUUAAGCAAAUGUCCUUCAGCCUGGCAGCAGAGCCCAUUCAGGGCCCCUACAAGAUAGUGGUGCACAAACAGUCAGGGGAGAUGGAAGAACACUCCUUUACUGUGUUGGAAUUUGUGCUUCCCAGAUUUAAUGUCGACCUGAAGGUUCCAAAUGCCAUCUCUGUGAAUGAUGAAGUGCUCCAAGUGACUGCAUGUGGGAAAUAUACCUAUGGGAAGCCUGUUCCAGGACAGGUGAAGAUAAGUAUCUGCCAUGAGACUGAAGCUGGAUGCAAAGAAGUCAAUUCCAAGGGCAUUGUUCCCGUUCUUGUAUUGGUUUUUUUCUGUUAUUAACCUUUGAAGGGCUGGAUUCUUCAACGAAUUACAAAGAGCAAUCUGCAAAUUCAUCUGGAAUAACAAAAAACCUAGGAUAGCAAAAGCUCUUCUCAAGGAUAAAAGAACCUCUGGUGGAAUCACCAUGACUGACCUAAAGCUUUACUACAGAGCAAUUGUGACAAAAACUCUUCUCAAGGAUAAAAGAACCUCUGAUGGAAAUACAAUGCCUGACCUAAAGCUUUACUACAGAGUAACUGUGAUUAAAAACUGCAUGGUACUGGUAUACCGACAGACAAGUAGACCAAUGGAAUAGAAUUGAAGACUCAGAAAUGAACCCACACACCUAUGGUCACUUGAUCUUUGACAAGGGAGCUAAAACCAUCCAGUGGAAGAAAGACAGCAUUUUCAACAAAUGGUGCUGGCACAACUGGUUGUUAUCAUGUAGAAGAAAUCGAAUCUAUCCAUUCCUAUCUCCUUGUAUUAAGGUCAAAUCUAAGUGGAUCAAGGAACUUCACAUAAAACCAGAGACACUGAAACUUAUAGAGGAGAAAGUGGGGAAAAGCCUUGAAGAUAUGGGCACAGGGGAAAAAUUCCUGAAUAGAAUAGCAAUGGCUUGUGCUGUAAGAUUGAGAAUUGACAAAUGGGACCUCAUGAAACUCCAAAGCUUCUGCAAGCAAAAGACACCGUCAAUAAGACAAAAAGACCACCAACAGAUUGGGAAAGGAUCUUUACAUAUCCUAAAUCAGAUAGGGACUAAUAUCCAGCAUAUAUAAAGUAUUCAAGAAGGUGGACUUCAGAAAAUCAAACAACCCCAUUAAAAAAUGGGGCUCAGAACUGAACAAAGAAUUCUCACCGGAGGAAUACCGAAUGGCAGAGAAGCACCUGAAAAAAUGUUCAACAUCCUUAAUCAUCAGGGAAAUGCAAAUCAAAACAACCCUGAGAUUCCACCUCACACCAGUCAGAAUGUCUAAGAUCAAAAAUUCAGGUGACAGCAGAUGCUGGCGAGGAUGUGGAGAAAGAGGAACACUCCUCCAUUGUUGGUGGGAUUGCAGGCUUGUAUAACCACUCUGGAAAUCUGUCUGGCGGUUCCUCAGAAAAUUGGACAUAGUACUACCGGAGGAUCCAGCAAUACCUCUCCUGGGCAUAUAUCCAGAAGAUGCCCCAACUGGUAAGAAGGACACAUGCUCCACUAUGUUUAUAGCAGCCUUAUUUAUAAUAGCCAGAAGCUGGAAAGAACCCAGAUGCCCCUCAACAGAGGAAUGGAUACAGAAAAUGUGGUACAUCUACACAAUGGAGUACUACUCAGCUAUUAAAAAGAAUGAAUUUAUGAAAUUCCUAGCCAAAUGGAUGGACCUGGAGGGCAUCAUCCUGAGUGAGGUAACACAUUCACAAAGGAACUCACACAAUAUGUACUCACUGAUAAGUGGAUAUUAGCCCAAAACCUAGGAUACCCAAGAUAUAAGAUACAAUUUCCUAAACACAUGAAACUCAAGAAAAA